rnacentral:rRNA from 1 species
UCUUCGGAGAGUUUGAUCCUGGCUCAGGACGAACGCUGGCGGCGUGCCUAAUACAUGCAAGUCGAGCGAAUCGAUGGGAGCUUGCUCCCUGAGAUUAGCGGCGG